rnacentral:misc_RNA from 1 species
GAAAAUGGCAAACCCCUCAUCCGCAAAAUAGACGUGACUUCAUUCGGGUCUCUCCCAUCCACUGGUUUGUCCAGUACUCUGCCCCUUGAAACUGCUUCCUCCAACUCCUCAGACGAUGAAGCGAAAAGCUCUAUGUAGCGAUUCCCUAUUGUCAUCCUGUCCUUCGCCAUUGCAGCUCUUGAAUCAUCUGCACUAGCAAAUUCAACAAAUGCUUCCCCUGUAGGUCUACCCUCAAAAGUAGCUGUUAUAUGGAUUGAUUUUUCUUCAAGUUCAAAAUCUUUAAAGAAAUCAAUAAUAUCUUCCUUGGUAGCUGAGAAUGGCAAUCCCCUCAGCCAUAAUACGCCAGUGUGUUCUGCAGGGUCUUUGCUUUCAUCAAUAGAUCUAGCCCUCGGAACUGAACCACCGCGAGAAUCAUAAACUUCAUUGGCUAUAGCCUUAUAGUAUUCAUCCUUCUUGCUUCUGAAAACCUCAACAUAUCUUCUUCCAAUAUUCUGC